AUGUGGCUUAAUGGUAGAGUGCUUGCCUAGCAUGCAUGAAGCCCUGGGUUCCAUUCCCCAGUAU
rnacentral:tRNA from 1 species